UACAGAGGUCUCAAGCGUUGUUCGGAUUCAUUGGGCGUAAAGGUGUGUAGGUGGCGCCGUAAGUCGGGUGUGAAAUUUCGGAGCUUAACUCCGAAACUGCAUUCGAUACUACGGUGCUUGAGGACUGGAGAGGAGACUGGAAUUCAUGGUGUAGCGGUGAAAUGCGCAGAUAUCAGGAGGAACACCAAUGGCGAAGGCAGCACUCUGGGACGUGACUGACGCUGAGACGCGAAAGCGUGGGAGCGAACAGG
rnacentral:rRNA from 1 species